rnacentral:rRNA from 1 species
CACGCUGUAAACGAUGGGUACUAGGUUUAGUGGGUCUUGACCCCCGCUGAACCGUAGCUAACGCGCUAAGUACCCCGCCUGGGAAGUACGGUCGCAAGAUUAAAACUCAAAGGAAUUGACGGGGGCCCGCACAAGCGGUGGAUCAUGUGGUUUAAUUCGAAGCAACGCGAAAAACCUUACCUGGGUUUGACAUCAUACUGACAUCCGUAGAGAUACGGCUUCUGUAGCAAUACAGCAGUAUGACCGGUGC